rnacentral:rRNA from 1 species
CCUACGGGUGGCAGCAGUGAGGAAUAUUGGUCAAUGGGCGAGAGCCUGAACCAGCCAAGUCGCGUGAAGGAUGACGGCCCUACGGGUUGUAAACUUCUUUUGUCAGGGAGCAAUUUAGUCCACGUGUGCCCUUCCCGAGAGUACCUGUAGAAAAAGCUCCGGCAAACUCCGUGCCACCAGCCGGGUUAAUACGGAGGAUGCGAGCGUUAUCUGGAUUUAUUGGGUUAAAAGGGUGCGUAGGCGGAAUAUCAAGUCAGCGGUAAAAAUUCGGGGCUCAACCCCGUCGUGCCGUUGAUACUGGUGUUCUUGAGUGGGCGAGAGGUAUGCGGAAUGCGUGGUGUAGCGGUGAAAUGCAUAGAUAUCACGCAGAACUCCGAUUGCGAAGGCAGCAUACCGGAGCCCAACUGACGCUGAGGCACGAAAGCGUGGGUAUCGAACAGGAUUAGAUACCCGAGUAGUC